CCCGGCGUCGGCCUCUUCCUCUAUUCGACUACACCACUCUAGAGGAUAAGAAAAUUGGGAAGAUUUGGAAUAUGAAGAUUUAGUUUAGAAAUUUCUUGUAUUCUUUUAUAAUUUUCUAUUUCUUUUCUAACUUGUAAUUUAUUGAAUAAUGUUAUUUGUAAUAAAGUUUGAAUUAUUUAUUCAUUUGGAAUUAUCAAAUGUGUUUACUAUUA